rnacentral:rRNA from 1 species
UACGGGAGGAGCGAGCAUUAUUCGGAAUGAUUAGGCGUAAAGAGCUCGUAGGUGGUUUGUCGCGUUGUUCGUGAAAUCUCACGGCUUAACUGUGAGCGUGCGGGCGAUACGGGCAGACUAGAGUACUGCAGGGGAGACUGGAAUUCCUGGUGUAGCGGUGGAAUGCGCAGAUAUCAGGAGGAACACCGGUGGCGAAGGCGGGUCUCUGGGCAGUAACUGACGCUGAGGAGCGAAAGCGUGGGGAGCGAACAGG